rnacentral:rRNA from 1 species
GUGGCGGACGGGUGAGUAACACGUGGGAACGUGCCCUUUGGUACGGAAUAACUCAGGGAAACUUGAGCCAAUACCGUAUGUGCCCUUCGGGGGAAAGAUUUAUCGCCAUUGGAGCGGCCCGCGUCUGAUUAGCUAGUUGGUGAGGUAACGGCUCACCAAGGCGACGAUCAGUAGCUGGUCUGAGAGGAUGACCAGCCACAUUGGGACUGAGACACGGCCCAAACUCCUACGGGAGGCAGCAGUGGGGAAUCUUGCGCAAUGGGCGAAAGCCUGACGCAGCCAUGCCGCGUGGAUGAUGAAGGUCUUAGGAUUGUAAAAUCCUUUCACCGGUGAAGAUAAUGACUGUAGCCGGAGAAGAAGCCCCGGCUAACUUCGUGCCAGCAGCCGCGGUAAUACGAAGGGGGCUAGCGUUGCUCGGAAUUACUGGGCGUAAAGGGCGCGUAGGCGGACAUUUAAGUCAGGGGUGAAAUCCCAGAGCUCAACUCUGGAACUGCCUUUGAUACUGGAUGUCUUGAGUGUGAGAGAGGUAUGUGGAACUCCGAGUGUAGAGGUGAAAUUCGUAGAUAUUCGGAAGAACACCAGUGGCGAAGGCGACAUACUGGCUCAUUACUGACGCUGAGGCGCGAAAGCGUGGGGAGCAAACAGGAUUAGAUACCCUGGUAGUCCAC